GAUGAACGCUGGCGGCGUGCCUAAUACAUGCAAGUCGAGCGAACAGACGAGGAGCUUGCUCCUCUGACGUUAGCGGCGGACGGGGGAGUAACACGUGGAUAACCUACCUAUAAGACUGGGAUAACUUCGGGAAACCGGAGCUAAUACCGGAUAAUAUAUUGAACCGCAUGGUUCAAUAGUGAAAGACGGUUUUGCUGUCACUUAUAGAUGGAUCCGCGCCGCAUUAGCUAGUUGGUAAGGUAACGGCUUACCAAGGCAACGAUGCGUAUCCGACCUGAGAGGGUGAUCGGCCACACUGGAACUGAGAAACGGUCCAGAAUCCUAAGGGAGGCAGCAGUAGGGAAUCUUCCGCAAUGGGCGAAAGCCUGACGGAGCAACGCCGCGUGAGUGAUGAAGGUCUUCGGAUCGUAAAACUCUGUUAUUAGGGAAGAACAAAUGUGUAAGUAACUAUGCACGUAUUGACGGUACCUAAUCAGAAAGCCACGGCUAACUACGUG
rnacentral:rRNA from 1 species